UCUACGGGUGGCUGCAGUGGGGAAUAUUGGACAAUGGGCGAAAGCCUGAUCCAGCCAUGCCGCGUGUGUGAAGAAGGCCUUCGGGUUGUAAAGCACUUUCAGUGGGGAAGAAAGCCUUGGGGCUAAUACCCUCGAGGAAGGACAUCACCCACAGAAGAAGCACCGGCUAACUCCGUGCCAGCAGCCGCGGUAAUACGGAGGGUGCGAGCGUUAAUCGGAAUUACUGGGCGUAAAGCGCGCGUAGGCGGUCUGAUAAGCCGGUUGUGAAAGCCCCGGGCUCAACCUGGGAACGGCAUCCGGAACUGUCAGGCUAGAGUGCAGGAGAGGAAGGUAGAAUUCCCGGUGUAGCGGUGAAAUGCGUAGAGAUCGGGAGGAAUACCAGUGGCGAAGGCGGCCUUCUGGACUGACACUGACGCUGAGGUGCGAAAGCGUGGGUAGCAAACAGGAUUAGAUACCCGAGUAGU
rnacentral:rRNA from 1 species